rnacentral:rRNA from 3 species
GGACUACUCGGGUUUCUAAUCCCGUUUGCUCCCCUAGCUUUCGCGCCUCAGCGUCAGAAGAGGUCCAGCAGCUCGCUUUCGCCACCGGCGUUCCUUCCAAUAUCAACGCAUUUCACCGCUCCACUGGAAGUUCCAGCUGCCCCUACCUCCCUCCAGCCGAUCAGUAUCCCAGGCACUUUUCCGGUUAAGCCGAAAGAUUUCACCCCAGACUUGAUCGACCGCCUACGCGCCCUUUAAGCCCAGUGAAUCCGAACAACGUUUGCACGGUUCGUCUUACCGCGGCUGCUGGCAC